rnacentral:rRNA from 1 species
AUUGAACGCUGGCGGCAUGCCUUACACAUGCAAGUCGAACGGCAGCGGGGGAGAAGCUUGCUUUUCCUGCCGGCGAGUGGCGAACGGGUGAGUAAUACAUCGGAACGUGCCCUGUAAUGGGGGAUAACUAGUCGAAAGAUUAGCUAAUACCGCAUACGACCUGAGGGUGAAAGUGGGGGACCGCAAGGCCUCAUGCUAUAGGAGCGGCCGAUGUCUGAUUAGCUAGUUGGUGGGGUAAAGGCCUACCAAGGCGACGAUCAGUCGCUGGUCUGAGAGGACGAUCAGCCACACUGGGACUGAGACACGGCCCAGGCUCCUACGGGAGGCAGCAGUGGGGAAUUUUGGACAAUGGGCGAAAGCCUGAUCCAGCAAUGCCGCGUGUGUGAAGAAGGCCUUCGGGUUGUAAAGCACUUUUGUCCGGAAAGAAAUGGCUCUGGUUAAUACCUGGGGUCGAUGACGGUACCGGAAGAAUAAGGACCGGCUAACCACGUGCCAGCCGCCGCCGUAA